GAUGAACGCUGGCGGCGUGCCUAAUACAUGCAAGUCGAGCGAACAGACGAGGAGCUUGCUCCUCUGACGUUAGCGGCGGACGGGUGAGUAGCACGUGGAUAACCUACCUAUAAGACUGGGAUAAAUUCGGGAAACCGGAGCUAAUACCGGAUAAUAUAUUGAACCGCAUGGUUCAAUAGUGAAAGACGGUUUUGCUGUCACUUAUAGAUGGAUCCGCGCCGCAUUAGCUAGUUGGUAAGGUAACGGCUUACCAAGGCAACGAUGCGUAGCCGACCUGAGAGGGUGACCGGCCACACUGGAACUGAGACACGGUCCCGACUCCUACGGGAGGCAGCAGUAGGGACUCCUCCGCGAUGGGCGAAAGCCUGACGGAGCAACGCCGCGUGAGUGAUGAAGGUCUUCGGAUCGUAAAACUCUGUUAUUAGGGAAGAACAAAUGUGUAAGUAACUAUGCACGUCUUGACGGUACCUAAUCAGAAAGCCACGGCUAACUACGUG
rnacentral:rRNA from 1 species